UAGACUUGGGUAAGGUUUAAUAAACUAGAUUUGUGGUGUGAUAAGUAAGUCGUAGAGUUAUAUAACUGUUUAGUUGUUGGUUAUUUAGUAUUAUGUAUGUGGCUAUAGGUCAUUUUAUAAAUUUAUACAUUUGGUAUUGUUUGUAUUGUUUAUGAUAAAGGUUAGAGGUACCUAGUUUUUGUUACAUUGUUAUAAAUAUUAUUUUAUUGGUUCGUGAUGUGUGUUAA
rnacentral:rRNA from 1 species